rnacentral:lncRNA from 1 species
GGUGAAUCUUGGCUGAAGGAGAGAGGAAGCAUGAAGGUCCACAUCCAUGGAGUUGAUGACAGGAAGACCCCUGAGGCACACACAAUUAUAUCAAGCAGUGACACUGGAGUCAGCUGUGGGAAUACACUGAAUGGUCUUCACACCCCUGUGGAUGGCGAGGGAGCCAAUGGAGAUUGUAGAAGAUGUUCCUCAAACUACAUGGGUGAAGGGUUCAGCUAUGAAAGACUUUCAACACUGAUUGUGUAAGAUAAUUGGAAUUCAUUUGCUGAGCACAGAUUCCUGCUAGUUUGUGGCAUUUAAAUGGAGGACACCAAGUGAGAACUGUGCUGUUGCAUCCUCAGGCAAAUGAUUUCUUCUGUAAAUGUCUUCUUGACAUGUUUAUGAAGAGACAUCCUCAGAGCCAAACUGCCUUCAUUUUCAUCAGAUCUGUUUGCAAGAGAUAGUCAUAGCUGACCAUGUUAACUGUGACCUACUUUUAUAUAAGGGGCACAGUGCAUCAUGGGACCUUCACAUGAGUAUCCAGGCAGCCCUCCAAGCCAUCUGUAUGAAAAUCUAAUUGUACAAAGCCUCAAGGAGUCUGUGAUGGCUAAUCUUGGUUGUCAACUUGAAGACAUCUAGAAUCAACUGAAUCCCAAGCAGCUAGGUGUUGAGAAAUUUUCAUGAUCGAAUCAUCUGAGGUCAGAAGACUCACUCUAAAGCUGGGCUACACCUUUUGAUGGCAUCCCGCAUAAAAGCACAUGGAAUAAGGAAAGCUUUGAUUUUUGCCUGCUUGUCCUCACUCUUACUGGCAAGUUCAUCUAGUCUGCUGCUGUGGCAUUCUUUCACUGGUGUUAGAACCUACUUCUUCAUGACUGAAGACUAGCUAAGGUAUCCAGCCAUGUGGACUGAAUAACUACUAAAUUUAUGGCCUUUUUUUUUUUUUGGAGCAAGAGAUAUUCAUUGUUGGACUAGACAGACAACAGCCUGUUAGCCACUCUAAUAAAUUACCUUUAGUAUAAUAUUCUUUCUAUCAGUUCUGUUUCUUUAGAGAUCCCUGAUUAAUACAGAGAGGCUGGAGUAUAUAGAUGAGAAAAGGACUAGGGCAGGAAGCUCCAUCUAUGUAGCCUCAGGGAAGUUAUCAGCCAUACUGGGUACAGAUCAUUCAGUGUGGCUUAAGGCUACCCAUAUGACUACCUGUAACACCUCACCCAUUGCUAUGUAAUAAGCCUAAUAAAGUCGUUGGUUUCCAGGAUGAAUUUGGCUGAAAUCUACUUUGGUUUGGGUUGAGGUUCUUAGGGAAGGGGUAGGUGGUGUUUACAGCUCAUCCUCAGGGAAG